rnacentral:rRNA from 1 species
CCUACGGGUGGCUGCAGUAGGGAAUCUUCCACAAUGGGCGAAAGCCUGAUGGAGCAACGCCGCGUGGGUGAAGAAGGUCUUCGGAUCGUAAAACUCUGUUGAUAGGGAAGAAAGUGCGUGAGAGUAACUGUUCACGUUUCGACGGUAUAUAACAAGAACGCCACGCCUAAAUACGUGCCAGCAGCCGAGGCAAAACGUAGGUGGCAAGCGUUAUCUGGAUUUAUUGGGAGUAAAGGGAGCGUAGUCGGUCUUUUAAGUCAGAUGUGAAAGGCUUCGGCUUAACCGGAGUAGUGCAUUGGAAACUGGGAGACUUGAGUACAGAAGAGGUGAGUGGAAUUCCAUGUGUAGCGGUGAAAUGCGUAGAUAUAUGGAAGAACACCAGUGGCGAAGGCGGCUCUCUGGUCUGUAACUGACGCUGAGGCUCGAAAGCGUGGGUAGCAAACAGGAUUAGAUACCCCUGUAGUC